GGCCCCUUGGUCAAGCGGUUAAGACACCGCCCUUUCACGGCGGUAACAGGGGUUCGAAUCCCCUAGGGGUCA
rfam:Filifactor alocis ATCC 35896, complete genome.